GAUGAACGCUGGCGGCGUGCCUAACACAUGCAAGUCGAGCGGACGGACCCUGAUCUUGCUUUUCUGAUGUUAGCGGCGCACGGGUGUGUCACACGUGUAUCCCCUCCCUAUCUGUCUGAUAUCACUUCGGGACACCGGAGCUAAUCGCAGAUGAUAUUUUGAACCACAUGGUUCAAUAGUGAAAGACGGUCUUUCUGUCUCUUCUCGAUGGUUCCGCGCUGCAUUAGCUAGUUGGUACGGUCACGGCUUACCAAGGGAACGAGGCAUGGCCGACCGGAGAGGGUGAUCGGCCACACUGGAACUGAGACACGGUCCAGACUCCUACGGGAGGCAGCAGUAGGGAAUCGUCCGCAGUGGGCGAGAGUCUUACGCAGUGAGGGCGCGUGUGUGACGAAGGUGUCCGGAGCGGAAAACCCGGUUAUUAGGGAAGAACAGAUGUGUAAGUAACUGUGCACAUCGUGACGGUAACGAAUCAGAAAGCACCGGCUAACUACGUG
rnacentral:rRNA from 1 species